rnacentral:rRNA from 1 species
GACGAACGCUGGCGGCGUGCUUAACACAUGCCAGUCGAACGGAAAGGCCCUGCUUUUGUGGGGUGCUCGAGUGGCGAACGGGUGAGUAACACGUGAGUAACCUGCCCUUGACUUUGGGAUAACUUCAGGAAACUGGGGCUAAUACCGGAUAGGAGCUCCUGCUGCAUGGUGGGGGUUGGAAAGUUUCGGCGGUUGGUGAUGGACUCGCGGCUUAUCAGCUUGUUGGUGGGGUAGUGGCUUACCAAGGCUUUGACGGGUAGCCGGCCUGAGAGGGUGACCGGCCACAUUGGGACUGAGAUACGGCCCAGACUCCUACGGGAGGCAGCAGUGGGGAAUAUUGCACAAUGGGCGGAAGCCUGAUGCAGCAACGCCGCGUGCGGGAUGACGGCCUUCGGGUUGUAAACCGCUUUCGCCUGUGACGAAGCGUGAGUGACGGUAAUGGGUAAAGAAGCACCGGCUAACUACGU